GACAGAGGGUGCAAACGUUGUUCGGAUUUACUGGGCGUAAAGCGCGUGUAGGCGGCUUGGCAAGUCGGAUGUGAAAGCCCACGGCUCAACCGUGGAAGCGCACCCGAAACGGCCUCGCUCGAGUCUCGGAGAGGAAGGUGGAAUGCUUGGUGUAGAGGUGAAAUUCGUAGAUAUCAAGCAGAACACCUGCGGCGAAGGCGGCCUUCUGGACCGGUAUUGACACUGAGGCGCGAAAGCCAGGGGAGCAAACGGG
rnacentral:rRNA from 1 species